UCUCUAUGAUGAAGCUCAUGCGUGUCAUCUGAGCCUGGCUUCCCUGUCAUCUCAGCCCAGGUAGUGUUCUAAAAAGAAUCUUUUUGUAGAGAGAGAUACUGAAAUAUUUACAGAUGAUGCGAUGACUGGGA